GAAGGCGCUCUGCUGGGCCAUCACUGACGCUCAUGGACGAAAGCCAGGGGAGCGAAAGGGAUUAGAUACCCCUGUAGUCCUGGCCGUAAACGAUGAACACUAGGUGUCGGGGGAACCGACCCCCUCGGUGUCGUAGCCAACGCGUUAAGUGUUCCGCCUGGGGAGUACGCACGCAAGUGUGAAACUCAAAGGAAUUGACGGGGGCCCGCACAAGCGGUGGAGUAUGUGGUUUAAUUCGAUGCAACGCGAAGAACCUUACCAGGGUUUGACAUCCUGCGAAUCUCUUGGAAACAGGAGAGUGCCUUCGGGAACGCAGUGACAGGUGGUGCAUGGCUGUCGUCAGCUCGUGUCGUGAGAUGUUGGGUUAAGUCCCGCAACGAGCGCAACCCACGUCUUUAGUUGCCAGCAUUUAGUUGGGCACUCUAGAGAGACUGCCGGUGAUAAACCGGAGGAAGGUGUGGAUGACGUCAAGUCAUCAUGCCCCUUACAUCCUGGGCUACACACGUACUACAAUGCUACGGACAAAGGGCAGCAAGUUCGCGAGGACAAGCAAAUCCCAUAAACCGUGGCUCAGUUCAGAUCGUAGGCUGCAACUCGCCUACGUGAAGGCGGAAUCGCUAGUAAUCGCAGGUCAGCAUACUGCGGUGAAUACGUUCCCGGGCCUUGUACACACCGCCCGUCACACCAUGGAAGUUGGCCACGCCCGAAGCCGUUACUCCAACCCUUGUGGAGGAGGACGUCGAAGGUGGGGCUGAUGACUGGGGUGAAGUCGUAACAAGGUAACCGUA
rnacentral:rRNA from 1 species